CGUUCCCGGGCCUUGUACACACCGCCCGUCAAGCGAUGAAAGCCGGGAGUACCCGAAGUCGUUGGCCCAACCCGCAAGGGAGGGAGACGCCGAAGGUAAAACUGGUGAUUGGCGCU
rnacentral:rRNA from 1 species